CCGAACCUCGAAGAGAUUUGAGGGUGCCCGAAAGGGAGCGGUAACACAGGUGCUGCAUGGCUGUCGUCAGCUCGUGUCGUGAGAUGUUGGGUUAAGUCCCGCAACGAGCGCAACCCUUGUCAUUAGUUGCCAGCAUUAAGUUGGGCACUCUAAUGAGACUGCCGGUGACAAACCGGAGGAAGGUGGGGAUGACGUCAAGUCCUCAUGGCCCUUAUGACCAGGGCUUCACACGUCAUACAAUGGUCGGUACAGAGGGUCGCUAAGCCGCGAGGUAGUGCCAAUCUCAUAAAACCGAUCGUAGUCCGGAUCGCAGUCUGCAACUCGACUGCGUGAAGUCGGAAUCGCUAGUAAUCGCGGAUCAGCAUGUCGCGGUGAAUACGUUCCCGGGCCUUGUACACACCGCCCGUCACACCAUGGGAGUGGAAUCCGCCAGAAGUGGGUAGGGUAACCGUAAGGAGCCCGCUUACCACGGUAGGUUUCAUGACUGGGGUGAAGUCGUAACAAGGUAGCCGUAGGGGAACCUGCGGCUGGAUCACCUCCUUU
rnacentral:rRNA from 1 species